GCAUAUCAAUAAGCGGAGGAAAAGAAACCAACAGGGAUUGCCCUAGUAACGGCGAGUGAAGCGGCAACAGCUCAAAUUUGAAAUCUGGCUUCGGCCCGAGUUGUAAUUUGCAGAGGAUGUUUAUGGUGCGGUACCUUCCGAGUUCCCUGGAACGGGACGCCACAGAGGGUGAGAGCCCCGUCUGGUUGGAUACCAAGCCUGUGUUAAACUCCUUCAACGAGUCGAGUAGUUUGGGAAUGCUGCUCUAAAUGGGAGGUAAAUCUCUUCUAAAGCUAAAUACCGGCCAGAGACCGAUAGCGCACAAGUAGAGUGAUCGAAAGAUGAAAAGCACCUUGAAAAGGGGGUUAAACAGUACGUGAAAUUGUUGAAAGGGAAGCGUUUAUGACCAGACUUGUGUCGUGUGGCUCAUCCGAGGUUCUCCCCGGUGCACUCCACACGGCUCAGGCCAACAUCGGUUCUCGUUGGGGGAUAAGAACAGUAGGAACGUGGCCCCUCUCGGGGGGUGUUAUAGCCUAUUGUACGAUACUCUGACGGGGACCGAGGACCGCGCUUCGGCUAGGAUGUUGGCGUAAUGGUCAUUAGCGACCCGUCUUGAAACACGGACCAAGGAGUCGUCCAUUAGAGCGAGCGUUUGGGUGUAAAACCCGCACGCGUAAUGAAAGUGAAAUUAGGUGAGAGCUUCGGCGCAUCAUCGACCGAUCCUGAAGUUUACGGAUGGAUUUGAGUAAGAGUUUUAACGGACGGACCCGAAAGACAGUGAACUAUGCUUGAAUAGGGUGAAGCCAGAGGAAACUCUGGUGGAGGCUCGCAGCGGUUCUGACGUGCAAAUCGAUCGUCAAAUUUGAGCAUGGGGGGCGAAAGACUAAUCGAACUGUCUAGUAGCUGGGUUACCGCCGAA
rnacentral:rRNA from 1 species